UAGUCCACGCCGUAAACGAUGUCUACUAGAAGCUCGGGUCUUCGGACUUGUUUUUCAAAGCUAACGCAUUAAGUAGACCGCCUGGGGAGUACGGCCGCAAGGUUAAAACUCAAAUGAAUUGACGGGGGCCCGCACAAGCGGUGGAGCAUGUGGUUUAAUUCGAUGCAACGCGAAGAACCUUACCUACACUUGACAUACAGAGGACUUACCAGAGAUGGUUUGGUGCCUUCGGGAACUCUGAUACAGGUGCUGCAUGGCUGUCGUCAGCUCGUGUUGUGAGAUGUUGGGUUAAGUCCGGCAACGAGCGCAACCCACGUCCUUAGUUGCCAGCAGUUCGGCUGGGCACUCUAGGGAGACUGCCGGUGAUAAGCCGGAGGAAGGUGUGGGAUGACGUCAAAUCAUCACGCCCCUUAUGUCCAGAGCUACACACGUGUUACAA
rnacentral:rRNA from 1 species